UACGAAGGAUGCAAGCGUUAUCCGGAUUUAUUGGGUUUAAAGGGUGCGUAGGCGGGUUUGUAAGUCAGAGGUGAAAGCCCAUAGCUCAACUAUGGAAUUGCCUUUGGUACUAUAGAUCUUGAGUAUGGUUGACGUUGGCGGAAUGUGCAGUGUAGCGGUGAAAUGCUUAGAUAUUGCACAGAACACCGAUUGCGAAGGCAGCUAACGAAGUCAUUACUGACGCUGAUGCACGAAAGCAUGGGGAGCAAACAGGAUUAGAAACCCGGGUAGU
rnacentral:rRNA from 1 species